GCCUGGUCAGAAGGCAGUGAGUUGACUCAGUUGUUGCUCACAGUCAGUCACAAGUCCAACUCCUUGUUCUGCUCUUUCCCCCUUCUCACUACUGCACUUGACCAGUCUUUA
rnacentral:Y_RNA from 1 species